GUAGAAACGUUGAUGGGGAAUAGUAAUGCGUUGUUUUUCCAAAGAGAGCCGGUGGUUGGUGCGAACCGGUGAAAAGCGCGUGUGAAUCCACUCCUGAGUUGCAUGGCGACAUAAGCCAUUGCCGGUUUAAAGGCCGUUAUGUAAUGAAGAGGAUCGGGCUUUUUAGCCGAUCAAUCAGGGUGGCAACGCGGGUAGCUCUCGUCCCUUUA
rnacentral:ncRNA from 1 species